GACGAACCACACAAACGUUAUUCGGAAUUACUGGGCUUAAAGGGAGCGUAGGCGGCGUAGAAAGUUGGGUGUGAAAUCCCUCGGCUCAACCGAGGAACUGCGCCCAAAACUACUAUGCUUGAGGAAGAUAGAGGUAAGCGGAACUUACGGUGGAGCGGUGAAAUGCGUUGAUAUCGUAAGGAACACCUGUGGCGAAAGCGGCUUACUGGGUCUUUUCUGACGCUGAUGCACGAAAGCUAGGGGAGCAAACGGG
rnacentral:rRNA from 1 species